GUACGAGCGAGUCAUCAUAUAGACCACAGUAUGGUGCAGGACAGAAAGUCGCUUCAUGCAAGCUAAAGCAUCGUCCACGACUUAAAACCUCUCUGCUAUAUUUAUACUAGGUUCACCAUACACUUUGCAGACAGUCAUGGACAUGCUUCUGACGGAGUUCCACGAAUAUCAGACCUCAUGGGAUGUCCCCUAAAGGAUUAGGUGUCAUAUCUUCACAAGGAUAAAUGUCUUGGAAGACUGGCAGACCGCAUCCCUGGCAGAUGGUCAUGAAGCAAGCACGUUUCCACUGAAAGAGUGUGCUGCUUGCCACAAGCUGUUUUUGAAUACAAGGAUGUUGGUGAAGUAUUCUCUCAGUAUUGCAAUGUGCUGUACAGCAAUCAAGGGUGUUGGCGUAAAGGCUGCUCGGAGUGUUGCAGCGUGUGCUGUACAGCAAGCAUCAAGGUAUAUGGGACUGUCCAGAGGGAUGUUGAGACUGAACCCACUACCAACUGAUUAAACUUUUUUACUCAA